UACGGAGGGUGCAAGCGUUAUCCGGAUUUACUGGGUUUAAAGGGAGCGCAGGCGGUUUGGUAAGUCAGUGGUGAAAUCCCCGUGCUUAACAUGGGAACUGCCAUUGAUACUAUCAGUCUUGAAUGUUGUUGAGGUUUGCGGAAUGGGUCAUGUAGCGGUGAAAUGCAUAGAUAUGACCCGGAACACCUAUUGCGAAGGCAGCAGGCUAAACAAAUAUUGACGCUGAGGCUCGAAAGCGUGGGGAUCAAACAGG
rnacentral:rRNA from 1 species